UACUCCACCGAGGACGUCACUCCCCAUUAGGCUCCACUUUGAGCUUCGUUCCCCCUGUUGUGCUGCGUGGAAGCCAUCGCUCUGUGCUCACGUCAUCUUACUGCGGUGCUGAAGAGACCGCCCCACAACUAACAAAGGUUAAUUGAGACCUUCAUUUUGAUGUUCAGUAACCAGUCUUACUGCAUCUUACUAAAGCCCUUCCCACAUGCUGUCAACACCAGUGCUCAGAAUUCUUAUUUAAUCUAGCUGGAACAAAAAGAAUUGGCAGAAACCUACGAACAGGAGACGAGAGCAAAGAUCCAUGAGGAGCCAUGCUUCAACUGUUGCUACUCUUUGGAACGGUAUUACAGUGAAGGAGAAAGUGUGCCUCUGUCUCAACCUCACCAUUCUUACAGUGACAGACUCUUUCUUCCUUUGGAAGCCACAUUUGCUUGUGUCUGCUUUUCUCUACGGCUAGGCCGUGAUCACUGUGCCCGUAUUUUGUAGGGAUCUGUCUCUGUUUUGUAUCUCUGAUGCUGAUGAGAUAUUCAGUCAGCUCAUACUUUCAGUUUAGGGCCCGAUAACAUUCCAGUUUUCUUAACUCUCUUAUCAGACAUAGUCUUCAUUCUUUUUUA